rnacentral:rRNA from 1 species
GUCUGUGAGUGUAAAUAAUACACAGUCUAGCCUGCUCACUGAAUUAUUAAAGAGCCGCAGUAAUUUGACUGUGCGAAGGUAGCAUAAUCAGUAGCCCCCUAAUUAGGGGCUGGAAUGAAAGGCUGGAUAAGAGAUAAGCUGUCUCAAUAAAUAAUAAAAGAACUUAACUCUUAAGUGAAAAGGCUUAAAUAUACUGGGGGGACGAUAAGACCCUAUAAAACUUAAUAUAAGAUAAGUUUGAAAAUAAAUCGAGGUUAAAGUAAACUUACUUAACUUAUAUUCCGUUGGGGAGACGAAGAUACAAUUAAGAUAACUGUCUAUAAAAUUAUAUAAUUAUAAUUAGAUCGUGAUCCUUCCUUGAGGAUUAAAGAUUAAGUUACUUUAGGGAUAACAGCGUAAUUUUCUUUGAGAGUUCUUAUCGACAAGAGUAGUUGCGACCUCGAUGUUGAAUUAAAUUUUUGUUUAGAAGUAGCAGUUUAAAUAAUAGGUCUGUUCGACCUUUAAAAUUUU